ACCAUCCCUGGGGGUGUGCAAGGGGAGGUUGGAUGUGGUGCUUGGGGACAUGGGUUAGUGGUGACAGCGGUGGCAAGGGAUGGUUGGACCAGAUGAUCUCGGAGAGCUUUUCCAACCAUAAUGAGUCUUUGAUCUACCUGUUUGUAUUUGCCUAUCUCACCUCUCAUCCCUUCACUUUCUGUAGUGAAUGUCCUACAGAAAAGUUGACAGUUCUCGUGCUUUUUGUUAACAUACUCCCACAAAAACGUGACCUGUUUCUGUAGGAAACACGUGGGUUUAACAUAGGAGGUGCAGGUCUGCAGCAAAGCCACGUGCAGGGUUUUAUAAGCUGGCAGAAAGAAAGUGAAAAGUGUGAUGAAAUGUCGGUGGGAUCAAAGACGAUUGAGGGUGGUACUCUAGUGGCUUACAGCAGAAAUAUUAGGGCAGGAAUGAGAGAAAUAAGUGGAAAGCACUUACGUGAAAGUACUUGCAUGUGAAAGCAGCAGAAGUUGCAAUAUGGGGGUUAAACAGGUAGUUACGAGGGAGGACAGCCACCGUUCCCUGGUGCUGUCACAGUGGUGGCAGGGGGACGGUGAUGUUCUGGGCAAGUCCCAGCAGCACAGGAGUUGGAUGGAGAGCAGACCCCGCGUCCCAACAACAGGAUGGCAAUCAGCUGGCAUCCCCUUACCCGCCUGCUGUUCUCCUCUUACCCCACCAUGAUGCAGAGGUGCUUUAGACAGGUAUGGUGAGACCCACGGUGAGCAGCAGCUAAGUCACCCUCUGUGGCCAUUACAGUGAAUUUUGUCAUGCUGAUUUUCCCCCAGUAUCAGCUGUGACAGUGGCCAGUAACAGGCACCUAGUCUCAGGAAGAAGCAGUAGAUGUGUAUUAAUGUGUCACAGAAUAUCUCCUCCAGGCUGAAAAAUCCCAGUAUCUUUGAUUUUUCCUUACGUGGAAGAUACUCCAUACUGCUGGUCACCCUCGUUGCUCUUCGUUUUGUAAUUUUUCCAGUUCUGUGUGGCUGGGAUUAUGUUAAAGUGUGCCCAAUAGGAUAUGGAGGCUAAUGCUGUUUGUUAACAUUGCAGGACUGACACAGUACGGGGAACGCAGAAAUGCCAGUUACUGGAUCCAGGAGCUGAUAGCCCAAAUUGUGUUGUAACAUUCUGCUUUCCAAUGAAUAUCCCUAGUAAUGAGGCUGGCUGUGCUAGGAUGAAGCUGUGAGCUGGCUCAGGUACUGUCCAAGGGAGAAGUCUGCAAAAGAUUUUAAGAGUGGAUCCAGCUGACCUGGCUGUAGAAUAUAGCAAACUCUGCUUCAGGGGUUAGAUUUUUUUUUUGCCCUGUUAAAGUAACAAGUUAGGAACAUAGUUUUUUUGUUUUGUUUUGUUUUUUGUUUUGUUUUGUUUUCUGUUUGUAUAUAUUUGUAUAAAGUUUUUAAAACGUCUUUACAGAAAGUCUUUCAAGUUUGUGUAGGUAUAAUACUGAACUAACUGAAAUGUUAUGUGGUAUUCACAGUGUCAUUUCUAAGUGUAAUUACAUGUAGAAAUAUAAACACCUAAUACAAUCUGGACUUCAGUGUAGGAAUGCAAAAUGAAGAGCUGGACCACAGCUCUGGAUUUUUCUACGCUGUACUGAAUUACCCUGACGUGAGGAAGAGGAAGGGCAGUGCUGUGCUGUGUGAUGUCAUGGGGAUGUCAAGGAGCUGAAGUGAGACUGCCACAAGCCUGCUUCUGUGCUGUUCGGAGUCCAUUUAGCAAAGCGCUCAGAGAGCCCCAGUGUGGCCGCUGGUUGUUCACAGCUCUUCUCUUUUAAGAGGAUGCAGAUGAGGGAGUGUGCUUGAUGAGGGUGAGCUAACACUGCAAGGUGGGAUACUGGAACAAGAGGAGAACACAAGGGGUCCAACACCCCGUGUUACUUGUUGGCUCUUUCCAGGUUUCUUAGCUCUCUGUCUCACUAACUGUAACCUAUUUUGAUUGCUAGAAAGCGUGGUUUUGGAUAAAUAAACUUCCCACAGGUAUGAGCAACCCUGAUGGUAACGCAGCAUGAAGUUCUGUGAUACUCAUGGGAGAUACUCAAAGCAUUUGAAGUCUUUUUAGGAAAAUCCUUUCAAGGGGAGCAACAUACUCCUCUCCUGAGGAAAGCGUGCAGUGGCUCCAGCUGCAGUCCCUUUCCAGGGUGCUGUGCAUCCACGGGAUCUGCUCUUGCAAGACACAGCAGCUGUAACAGCACAGGGAUGUUAUUUGGGUCCUCGGUGAUUCUGCUUCGAUAGAGGAAGAAAUACACAGAUUCAGUGGCAUUUCUGCACUGGUUUCAUAGAUGGGCUUUUUUCUUCUCAGUUUUGAAGCUGCACAUGUGCCGUGGUGUUUGGGAUGCUGUGGUGUUUUGCAGGCAAAGGUUUAUUUUAUGUGGAUGGCAGAAAACUUGGCAAAUGGACAUGUUGAUUUGCAGUUGUUUUAGGUAACUAAACAAGCAUGAUGGUAUUUUCCCUGGGUAGCUUCUUAACUUUUUAGGGCACAGCAGCAAAUAUGUGAUGCCGACCUCGCUUCCUAGCUGCCUGCUGUUGUUCCCUGCUGGCUGAUAACGUAUCAGAGUAACGUGUUUUAUUUUUCAGGUAGGGAAAUCUAUGGAGCAGGUGCUUAAAUGUUGCUUUAAGUCGUUAAAAGUUAGCAGCACGUGCCGAGCCUAGAACACCAAACCAAAAGACAAGCCUGGAGCUCUCCUCCUCUACGUGGAGCCCCGUAAGGAAAUCUGUCAGAAGCGGGGGAGAUGCUGUGGGUGCUACCCGCGCAGCCAGGCAGAUUACCUUCUGGCCAGCGUUCAAGUACUCGACGCUGCUGACUAGCAGAGAGCACGACUUGCCCCACGUGGAGUUUAUGGGACCUGGAACGAGUUUGCUUUACCUGUGAGUUUCUCCCGGCUUGCGCUGGCUGUGUAUGCGUUUGAGAGCCUUGGGUUAUGCCUGCUCCUGCUGCACCGUGAACGCUUCCUGAGGCUGAAUGCAGGACAAGGACUACAGCGCAGACUUCUCAGCAUCCUCUCAGCUCUGUCUGCUCUAAAGGCUGGUUUGCAUUCCAGUCCUUGGCAGAACACAGAGGUGUGGUGCUUGCUGCCCCUUUGUGGAGCACAGACUUGUGUGGCAAGGCCCUUAACACCGUGCUGAGCUCCCUCCUCAGCGUGAAGAUCAUAGCACUUAGGGAAUGGGUUGCAGUUGUCUUCUGGAACUUCUUUAGAUAGCUUUGAGACUGCUAUCCAAGUGAUGACUGAAGCAGCCUAGCUGCAGGUGCUGGGCUCAGGCACCACAGGUUUCUCUUAGCACUGCGUGCGCUGCUCUGGUACGACUCUUUGUGAUGUGACCCAUGGAGCGGGCUCACCCUGGCUUAGACAUUUUCCUUCUUCAGAGAUGAGAAUUUCUGUUCUUUUCAGAAGUGAACUGAAGAGUUGGAUGUUUUGGGUGCGCUCAGCAUGUGCGCAGGGAGGAAUCUUGCCCUUGAGAGUGGAUCCUAGCUCAUGUAGGAGCGGGUGCAGGCACGAGGGAAUAUAUGUGAGCUGGGGGAGAGCUGGGAGGAAUGUGAAAAGCUGUGGACACGCAGGGUCAGGGCCUUACAGGAAUCACCUCCUAGUUCUUACGUUUUCUUCCCAUCUCUUCCCAUAUAUAACAAAAUGCAGUAAAAAAAUUUAUAUAACUAUAAGUGAUUUGAGUUGGCUUUUUUUCCUAUUACUGGUGAAGAUACUGCAUUGAGACUCAUCUCUCCUUUUGCAGAACAUCAGUGAACUUCCGUCUCUGCUAUGAUCUUCACCUCUUUUGACCUAUUUGUUUGUUCUCCGAGGGCUUCAUAUUUUAACCUUAUAUUGACACAAUCACAAUGUUCUAUAACUUUUUGCUAUAAAUAAUCCUUGAAGAAAAAUAUAGAUAUACUUUGUUUAAAUUGUAUACAGAUAUUAUUUACAUCCAAGAAAAACAGGCAGGUUUAUUGCAAACAAAUUAUAUAUAAUUUUAUGUUAUCAAAUACGUUCUUCACUCAGCACUCCUAGUACGUGAUCCUUACAGCUACUAACCAGUAUAUUUUCUAAGUUGCAUUUGAAACCCUUUAUGGAAGUCUUGUUUUCCAGUUUCUGCAUUGUGUAUCUAAUGAAAAUGUGAAGAUAAAUGGAGAACCUUCUUCUUACAACACAGUUGCUGUGGAAUCAGCCAGUGCAGCAGAUUUAUAUGUACAUUUACAAGAUCUGGGGGGUAAACCUUGGAGGUUUUGGUAGCAUUACAGUGUGUUAGCAAUGUAUCUUUGCUGCUUUCUGGUAUUAUAAAUGGGCAGUUGUUUUGCCUCACAAGAAAUUUCAAAAAAGGGACUAAAAGCAGCUGUAGAUGCUUAAAUUCCUUGUGAAAUAGAGCUGUGAUGGCUUUCCUCUCACCAAAUGUGCUCUGUUGUUUUAUGCUGUUCCUCCUCAACGCAGUUGCUUAAAGUCACAGAAAAACAGACCAUACCGUUGGCAGUUUUGGAAAGGGGCAGGUGUAGCCAUAAUGGAGUCAGAAGGCUCCAGUUUUUUUACUCACUGUGCUAGUGCAUGCAGCAUUUCUUACAAGACUUACAAGGGUAGUUUGAGUUGGAACAUUUACAUUUGUUUUAUGAACAGAGCUACUACAUUUGAUUUAGCAGCACAGAGUAAGACAUCAGUAGUGAGUCAUUUCACAAAAGAAAUAAUUAGUGUGUUUUGUGAGUUUAAAGAACUGUUCUCAUGCUACAUCUAGAUGAUAAGUCUAAGAAAUACCCGUCUUCAGACAGAUAAAAGCUUCAGAAAGCAAUGUAAAGAACUUACCAGACAACAGAGAAGUUUUGAUUUUUAAAGUCCAGCUCUGGAAAACCUGUUGCAUAUUAUGCACAGCGUACAAAUCAUAUUCCUGUGAUCUUUUUUUUUUUUUGAUGUCUGCAUGAUCCUACUUGAAAAGUGUAAUUAUGAGAGACAGAAGGGUAGUUUUCACCGUGGUAUUUUCCUGGUUAAGUGCUACAUGUAUUUGGUUAAUUGUUAUUUGCAUCUCUUUUAAAAAUGUGCUUAGUUCACAAUAUUACAUUGUUCGUUAUUACGAGGACAAUAUAUAUACAAAUAUAUUUUGACAUACAAGUGUAAUGCCUCUUCUCUGCGCAGUUGAAAAGCUUUUAAUUAGAAGUUAUUCUGUAUGCAAAAAUAAGAUUAUAUUCUUCAGUCAGCGUUGCAGUGAGUACCAAAAUGCGGAGCUUGAUGGAAAGAUAAGCAGAAGGUAAAGACUGAACAUUAAACACCAACAUCAACUGCUUUCAAAUAGUGUGUGCUGAAUCUUUCAUUAUUUUAAAAAUACAAGGGUAGUCCUUUCUCAAUCGCCAAUCAAAAUACAAUUUUAAAACAUUUUUUUUUUUCCCAAAUGUAAUUUCAGUAUGUGGGAUUUGGCUUAAAAUUGUGUGUGCACUGAAUUGCAAAGCAAAACCUAGAGGGCUUUGCCAAGUAUGACAGCAAAUAACUUGUAACUUCCUAUGACCAUGUCUGUUCCCUUUUGGAUAAUGCUACAAAAUAUGAUUGUACUACUCUUAGUAUAAUUGAUGCUAGGUGCUUUUGGUAUUCUUUUUUCUUUUGGGGAUGAAAAAGGUUGGCAAAUAAAAUCUGUAACAUGCACAAAGUGAAGGUAUUCUUCAAUGGAAAUCAGUCAUUUCCUCAUAGCAUGCAUUUCAAAUUAGCUUUGUGCAUGUUUUUGUGUAUUA